rnacentral:rRNA from 1 species
UACGGAGGGGGCUAGCGUUGUUCGGAAUUACUGGGCGUAAAGCGCGCGUAGGCGGCUUUGUAAGUUAGAGGUGGAAGCCCGGAGCUCAACUCCGGAAUUGCCUUUAAGACUGCAUCGCUAGAAUCAUGGAGAGGUGAGUGGAAUUCCGAGUGUAGAGGUGAAAAUUCGUAGAUAUCGGGAGGAACACCCGUAGCGAAGGCGGCCGACUGGACCACACCUGACGCUGAGGCGCGAAGGCCAGGGGAGCGAACGGGAUUAGAU